rnacentral:rRNA from 1 species
UACAGAGGGGGCAAGCGUUAUUCGGAAUUAUUGGGCGUAAAGGGCGCGUAGGCGGCUUGGCAAGUGGCUGGUGAAAUCCCUCGGCUUAACCGAGGAACUGCCGUCCAAACUGCUUUGCUUGAGGCCGGGAGAGGUGAGUGGAAUUCCCAGUGUAGCGGUGAAAUGCGUAGAUAUUGGGAGGAACACCAGUGGCGAAAGCGGACUUCUGGGUUGUUACUGACGCUGAGGUACGAAAGCGUGGGGAGCAAACGGG